GGGGGUGCAUUGGCUUCGACGGGGGUUGCGAAAUCGCUUGGCGCAUGCCGAGGGGGUAGCUUUCCUCGCUAAACCAGCUGCAAACUUAUAGUUGCCAACGACGACAACUACGCUCUCGCCGCUUAAGGCGUAAGCCCUGAACCCACUUGUGCCUGUGCUCGUGGAUGUAGGGUCAUUAUCACAGGACCGGCCCAGGCGGCGACCCGCCAACCUGGGCUUGAAUAAAGCGGGUGUGGAUUGCGGCGCGCCUUGCUGGUUGAGUUGCCGCCGUCCGAGAUCAAUCAAUCAGCUAAGCAUGUAGUGCCGGGCGUGGAGUGCCUUCGGACGGCGGUUCGAUUCCGCCCACCUCCACCA
rnacentral:tmRNA from 1 species